rnacentral:lncRNA from 1 species
GUUCCCCCGAGAGCGGCCCCGUGACUAGGCACAUUUUUGCCGGCACCGAGGCGGGGGAGCCGCGCAGCCCCGGAAGGGCCGGGCCGCGCCGGCUCAGACGGCCAGCGUCCGCCCCCUCUUGCCCCGCCGCCCACCGGGCCGCUCAAACUUAGGGGCUCCGGAGUCCCAGCUCUCGGGCCCGGGGACGCGGCUGGAUUCUCCCCCAAGGCCCACGCGAGCGGGCUCAGUCCCCAGACCUUCCCGCAACUUCCCACCCGUUCGCCCUCGGGCUCGUGGUCGGUCGGAUCACCCGGCCGCGUCCCCGCUGCCCCUCCCCGCCCUGCCCCGGCGCAAGCGCGGCGGCUCUACCCAGCGCCGCGGUCCUGGCUCUGGCCAGACGUGGGGGAAGCCGGUUGCGGCUGUCCCUCCCGGGCCGCGGUUCCCUAGCUCCCCCGCCCCCGUCCCGGCACCACCGCAGGGCCCAGAGGGCCGAGGCAGCACCUGCUGGGACGGGAGUCCCGGCGGCGGCAGCUCCAAGUCCAUCAUGAUGAGCUGUGGACCGUGUGUUGGGGCUCCCCGACGGCGGCCCUGUUCCGGCUGCCGAGGCGCGGCGCGGACAGGGCGGCUCUGGUGGCGGCGGCGGCGGCGGUGGCGGCUGCGUCGGCGGCUCCUCCGGGCUCCCCGGCACUCGCUCAGGUCGUCAAAGGCAAACGGAGAAGCCCCUUUAGGUCGGAGAGUGGUCAGUAUUGCCCACCCAGAGCUGGGAGAAAAACGGGAACCCCAAGAGAACCUCUUCCCACCAAAGCGCAGCCACCACGCCACAGAUGGCGCCCUUCAACAGUGUGUAAUACCACAACAUGCUGUAAUCGUUUACUCUUUACAAAUUUCUUUUUCACGUACUCACAAAAUAGUACAAAUUAAAAAAAGUUACAAAAACGUUUGUAUAGUAUUGGCUCAUUUUAUAAAAACGUGCCUAGAAAAAAAUUGAAGGUUACCAAUAUAUUAAAUGCUGUGGAAU